rnacentral:pre_miRNA from 1 species
CAAGUACUCCCUCCGUUUGGAAUUACUCGUCCAAGAAAUGAAUGUAUCUAGAUGUAUUUUAGUUGUAGAUACAUCCAUUUUUGUGACAAGUAAUUCCGAACGGAGGGAGUAGCAA